CGAUUUUCAUGCAAGAGAGAAAUGAGAAUGAUCCAUUCAUUUCAUAAUGGAAUCCAGACUCAUCCCAAUGGAGCUAAAACUCAUUCCAGUGGAAUGAGAUUAAAAAAAAAAUCAUCUUCCUCAUCCGCUCUCCUUCCUCCCUCGAGGCCCUCGCCGUUAAGGCCAUCUCCCGCUCCUCCAUCAAGCAGAAGAACACUGCCGCUGAUGCCUACCACC
rnacentral:lncRNA from 1 species